UACGGAGGAUUCAAGCGUUAUCCGGAUUUAUUGGGUUUAAAGGGUGCGUAGGCGGUCGGAUAAGUUAGAGGUGAAAUCCCGGGGCUCAACUUCGGAAUUGCCUCUGAUACUGUUCGGCUAGAGAGUAGUUGCGGUAGGCGGAAUGUAUGGCGUAGCGGUGAAAUGCUUAGAGAUCAUACAGAACACCGAUUGCGAAGGCAGCUUACCAAGCUACUUCUGACGUUGAGGCACGAAAGCGUGGGGAGCAAACAGG
rnacentral:rRNA from 1 species